AUGGCCAUCUUCGACGAGUUCUACGUAGGGUCCAUUACCCUCGGUCGUCUCAACUAUGGGAUCAUUUCGCUCAUCCCUAAAGUGCCUGGGGUGUCUGACAACCGCCGGUUCCAUCCGAUCAUAGUAAUUAAUGUGAUCUUCCGGAUCCUGGCGAAAGGGUACGCCAAUAGGGUGACCUUGCUGGCGGAUCGCAUUACCCACCCCAACCAGUCCACCUUCAUUCAAGGGCAUUUUAUCCUAGAUGGGGUGCUAGUCCUUCACGAAGUCCUCCAUAAGGUCUGCUCUAAGCACCUCAAGGCGGUCUUCCUGAAGAUCGAUUUCCAUAAGGCUUACGACAUAGUCAGCUGGCCCUUCCUUCGGGAAGUCUUCCUUCGGAAAGGCUUCGACGAUCGUUGGAUCACCUGCGUGAUGCAUAUGGCAUCCAGCGGUCGCGCCGCCGUGAACAUCAAUGGGGAGGUUGGCCCUUACUUCCCCACCCUUUGUGGGGUCAGACAAGGCGACCCCUUCUCCCCAUUUUUUUUCAACAUGGUGGUGGACAUACUUGCCGCUAUCCUGGACAAGGCAAAGGCGGCAGGCCAUAUUUGUGGGAUCGCCCCCCACCUGGCCGGUGACUCUGAGAUCUCCCUCCUCCAGUAUGCCGACGACACCCUCAUUACGGUGGAAGGCUCGGAGACGUUCAUCUCUCAUAUGAAGUUCCUCCUCCUCUGCUUCCAACAAAUGUCUGGCCUCAAGAUCAACUUCGACAAGAGCGAUGUGAUGGUGAUGGGCCACUCUCCGGAUGAAUGCCUGAGCACUGCUAACCGUCUUAACUGCCUCUUGGCUCCUUCCCCACGACCUACUUAG
rnacentral:rRNA from 1 species